rnacentral:ncRNA from 2 species
GCGUGGGAUGGGGAUGGAGCUCCCCGACAACCGCCCGCGAGGGCUGAUAGCUCCUGCUGCGAG